CAGAGUUUUUGCCCGCAAGGGUAGAUCUCCCACCCUAUGUUAUUCCUUCUCUGUUGCUUUGGCGGGCCGUCCGGCCUCGGUCAGGCCACCGGCUCCGGCUGGUGAGCGCCCGCCAGAGGACCCCAAACCCUAAAUGUCAGUGUCGUCUGAGUACUAUAUAAUAGUUAA
rnacentral:misc_RNA from 1 species